CUCUCAACACCCAUCACUGGCCUGCAGGGUGCUGGUGGUAGACUGGGAUGUGCACCACGGCAGCGGCAUCCAGCACGUGUUUGUGGCCGAACCGAGGGUGCUGUACGUGUCCCUCCACCGCCACCACCAUGGCCUCUUCUUCCCAUCCUCUGAGGACCCAAACUACGACGAGUGGGGACGGGACCUGGCCAAGGCUACAACAUUAACAUUCCCUGCAACAAGAGUGGCAUGGGUGACGCAGAGGCUCUCACUCAGGUGGUGCUGCCCGUGGCCUACCAGUUCAACCCACAGCUGGUCCUGGUCACUGCCAUCCUUGAUGUUGGUGCGGGGACCCACUUGGAGGUUGCCGCGUGAGUCCCGAUUACGUUGGACAUAUGAUGGCCCUUCUGUCUGGCCUGGCCGAGGGCCGCAUGGUUCUGGCACUGGAGGGCGGCUUCAACCUCACCACCAUCAGCUACUGCAUGACGCUGUGUGCCAAGGCCUUGCUGGGGGAUCGGCUGCCCCCCCCUUGAGCCCCACCUGGGGCCCAACAAGAGUGCCGUGCAGACCAUCAAUGACGUCAUCCGUACCCACAGCCGCUACUGGCCGGCGCUCUGCUUCAAGAAAGAAGAAGCAGAAGAAGAAGAAAAGAAGAGAAGGAAGAGGAGGAGAGGGUAUGUGUGUGUGUGUGUGUGUGUGUGUGUGUGUGUGUGUGUGUGUGUGUGUGUGUGUGUGUGUGUGUGUGUGUGUGUUAUAGGGACAGAAUUUAAACUGAUUUCUUUCAACAUAUAUUUUAUUAUUAUUAUUGAAAGACAGACUUCCCUUCUUCCUUCCUUCUCUUCUUCACUUCCUCCUUCUUCUUCUCUUUCAUCUUCAUCUUUCGCUUC